rnacentral:rRNA from 1 species
UAAUGUCUGGGAAACUGCCUGAUGGAGGGGGAUAACUACUGGAAACGGUAGCUAAUACCGCAUAACGUCGCAAGACCAAAGAGGGGGACCUUCGGGCCUCUUGCCAUCGGAUGUGCCCAGAUGGGAUUAGCUAGUAGGUGGGGUAACGGCUCACCUAGGCGACGAUCCCUAGCUGGUCUGAGAGGAUGACCAGCCACACUGGAACUGAGACACGGUCCAGACUCCUACGGGAGGCAGCAGUGGGGAAUAUUGCACAAUGGGCGCAAGCCUGAUGCAGCCAUGCCGCGUGUAUGAAGAAGGCCUUCGGGUUGUAAAGUACUUUCAGCGGGGAGGAAGGGAGUAAAGUUAAUACCUUUGCUCAUUGACGUUACCCGCAGAAGAAGCACCGGCUAACUCCGUGCCAGCAGCCGCGGUAAUACGGAGGGUGCAAGCGUUAAUCGGAAUUACUGGGCGUAAAGCGCACGCAGGCGGUUUGUUAAGUCAGAUGUGAAAUCCCCGGGCUCAACCUGGGAACUGCAUCU